rnacentral:tRNA from 1 species
GGGGAUUUAGCUCAGUGGCAUAAGCACCUGCCUUGCAAGCAGGCGGUUGUGAGUCCGAUUCCCG